rnacentral:tRNA from 2 species
AGCGAGAUAGCUCAGUUGGUAGAGCAAAGGAAUCAUAAUCCUUGGGUCAUGGGUUCGAGCCCCAUUCUCGUUA